UACGAAGGGGGCUAGCGUUGUUCGGAAUUACUGGGCGUAAAGCGCGCGCAGGCGGCUAUCCAAGUCAGUGGUGAAAGCCCGGAGCUCAACUCCGGAACUGCCGAUUGAAACUGUUUAGCUUGAGGACGAGAGAGGUGAGUGGAAUUCCCAGUGUAGAGGUGAAAUUCGUAGAUAUUGGGAAGAACACCGGUGGCGAAGGCGGCUCACUGGCUCGUAUCUGACG
rnacentral:rRNA from 1 species